rnacentral:rRNA from 1 species
AUUGAACGCUGGCGGCAUGCCUUACACAUGCAAGUCGAACGGUAACGGGCCUUCGGGUGCCGACGAGUGGCGAACGGGUGAGUAAUACAUCGGAACGUGCCCGAUCGUGGGGGAUAACGAGGCGAAAGCUUUGCUAAUACCGCAUACGAUCUACGGAUGAAAGCAGGGGACCGCAAGGCCUUGCGCGGACGGAGCGGCCGGUGGCAGAUUAGGUAGUUGGUGGGGUAAAAGCUUACCAAGCCGACGAUCUGUAGCUGGUCUGAGAGGAUGAUCAGCCACACUGGGACUGAGACACGGCCCAGACUCCUACGGGAGGCAGCAGUGGGGAAUUUUGGACAAUGGGCGCAAGCCUGAUCCAGCCAUGCCGCGUGCAGGAUGAAGGCCUUCGGGUUGUAAACUGCUUUUGUACGGAACGAAAAGCCUUCUUUUAAUACAGGAGGGUCAUGACGGUACCGUAAGAAUAAGCACCGGCUAACUACGUG